rnacentral:tRNA from 2 species
AGUCCUGCGGUGUGAUGUACAUGCUGAAUUGCAAAUUCGGAGAAGCAGUUUCGACUCUGCCGGGACUU